UACGUAGGGUGCGAGCGUUAAUCGGAUUUACUGGGCGUAAAGGGCGCGUAGGCGGCGUGACAAGUCACUUGUGAAAUCUCCGGGCUUAACUCGGAACGGUCAAGUGAUACUGUCGGACUAGAGUACAGAAGGGGGCAACUGGAAUUCCUGGUGUAGCGGUGGAAUGCGCAGAUAUCAGGAGGAACACCAAUAGCGAAGGCAGCUCGCUGGGACGGUACUGACGCUGAGGCGCGAAAGCGUGGGGAGCGAACAGG
rnacentral:rRNA from 1 species